UCCCUUGAUUUCACUUCUGUUGUGGCUACACCAUACCAGUUAAGAACAAGACCAUAUUUUAUAUUUGGUGAUAAAUGAUCUAGAUCACAGGCCUUGACGCUAACAUGUCAGAACAAUUGCCAAGAUAACCACAAAAGUCAGAACUGUUGGGGUCUGCUAGGUGGUUCAGUGGAUUGAGCUUCCUCGAUUUGUGAUCCUGGGCAAGUCACUUAACCCCUAUUGUGUAGUCAGUAAGCCUUAGAAUCAAUACACCAUAUUGAUUCUAAGAUUCUAGGAUGGAAGAUAAGAGUUUAAAAAAGGAAGUCAGAGCCGUUGCCAAGAUAAAAACUAUUCCUAAGAUCACACGGAGCUGGAGAGAGGUGAUCUUUCCAAACCAUCUAAGGGAAGAGAUGAACAUGAAGCUGAAAGGCAUGUCUUGCAUAUAAGGGCAGAUGGAGAAACUAAGACACAGAUGGAGAAACUAAGUCACAAAUCUGAAUGGUUGAGUGCAAGGGAGAAUGUCAAUGGUCAACUUGGAUGAUGAGAAAGGUGGCUGAAAUACAAUAUGACUCUCUCUGAAUAUCUUUGAGAAGAAAAAACGAUCACUAUCUCCCCAGGGUAGAGACAUCCAUCCAACCUAAGGCAGAAAGCUGAACCCAAAGAUUUUUUUAAAAUACUUUGCAGAAAUCCCUGAUCUACGACUUCGGACAAUUGUCUGUUUAGCUGAAUCCUUGCCAUCUUGGGGAUAAGACCUGGCACAUCCAGACUGACAGUUAAAACAAUGCUGCUUCCUACUGAAGGUUUAGAAGUGCUUUCAAAAGAUUGUCUUGAAUAAGUACCUACUAUGGCGUUUCAGAGAAAUAAAAUGGAAAGAAGAGAAAGGAAAAGAAGAAUAUAUACGGACUCCAAAUUGUGGAGGAAUUCAGCCAUAGUGAGGGCUUUGGGUUCUUGUUACAUGUGAAUUGGGGGAGGCAGAAAUAAAAAUUUAUUAAGAGCUGA